UGACCUCAAAUCAGGUAGGACUACCCGCUGAACUUAAGCAUAUCAAUAAGCGGAGGAAAAGAAACUAACAAGGAUUCCCCUAGUAACUGCGAGUGAAGCGGGAAGAGCUCAAAUUUUGAAUCUGGCAGUCCUUGGCUGUC
rnacentral:rRNA from 1 species